rnacentral:rRNA from 1 species
GACGAACGCUGGCGGCGUGCUUAACACAUGCAAGUCGAACGAAGAGCGAUGGAAGCUUGCUUCUAUCAAUCUUAGUGGCGAACGGGUGAGUAACGCGUAAUCAACCUGCCCUUCAGAGGGGGACAACAGUUGGAAACGAAUGCUAAUACCGCAUACGAUCUAAUCUCGGGAUCGAGGAUAGAUGAAAGGUGGCCUCUACAUGUAAGCUAUCACUGAAGGAGGGGAUUGCGCUUGGUUAGGUAGUGGGAGGGGAACGGACCAACAAGGCGACGACCAGUAGGCGGUCUGAGAGGAUGAACGGCCACAUUGGGACUGAGACACGGCCCAGACUCCUACGGGAGGCAGCAGUGGGGAAUCUUCCGCAAUGGACGAAAGUCUGACGGAGCAACGCCGCGUGAGUGAUGACGGCCUUCGGGUUGUAAAGCUCUGUUAAUCGGGACGAAAGGCCUUCUUGCGAAUAGUGAGAAGGAUUGACGGUACCGAAAUAGAAAGCCACGGCUAACUACGUG